rnacentral:lncRNA from 1 species
GUCCAUCCACACUUUCUCCACAGGACUUCAGUUCCCUUGGCAACUUGACCGUUGGCACCGGGGCCGCUUAUCACUCUUUCGAAAGCUUUUCCUACCGUUGAAACUAUUGAAUGCUUACAAGGUGUCACUUCUUAAUACAGAGAGAACAAUGAUUCAACAUUAUUUUAUUCCCGAAGUGAGAUCAUACUGUUGGGCCGCUUGAAAUAUCUUAGUUUGCGUGUGCUUCAGUUAAAGAAUAGGACUGGCUUACUUCAUUAUCAGCAACAUUCGCCAUUAUUAGGAUGCUAUCCCCUCAACUUCAUUGCUUCUGUACUUACUAAAUGCUGUGUUAAGUUGUAUUAGAAAAAAACACAUUAGUA